UGCUUCCGGUAGUUCUUGGUGGGUUUGGGAACGGGGUUGGCGGAUGCCAGAACUCCCAGUGCAGAACCUUACGGCGUGGAGCGCCGCGAGGGAGCCGGUUCUUCCGCCAUAGAACACCAGGCCUUUCUCGAGACCUCUGACCUUUCACUGGGCGAGACGGCCGCGAGUCCCACGCAUGCUCAGUACUUCCGAGUGGGCCUUGGCGCUCAGUGAACAGUCUGUGCUUCCGUAUUGUUGUGAACAUCAGGGCAGCAGUUCUGGUCACCUGGAUUUAUAAACACCAAGAAGUAGCAACAGCCAGUGUGCAUGUCACUGACAACCCGAAUCACCAAAAAUCUUACUGAGAACCCAUUAGCUCCUUGAAUUAAAGAUUCUUUUGUGAAAAGAGGCUUGAUUGUCUUGUUCUGCACCUGAAAUAAAGCGUUUCCCAUUC
rnacentral:lncRNA from 1 species